rnacentral:rRNA from 1 species
UACGUAGGGACCAAGCGUUGUUCGGAUUUACUGGGCGUAAAGGGCGCGUAGGCGGCAAUUCAAGUCAGUUGUGAAAUCUCCGAGCUUAACUCGGAACGGUCAACUGAUACUGUUUUGCUAGAGUGCAGAAAGGGCAACCGGAAUUCUUGGUGUAGCGGUGAAAUGCGUAGAUAUCAAGAGGAACACCUGAGGCGAAGGCGGGUUGCUAGGCUGACACUGACGCUGAGGCGCGAAAGCUAGGGGAGCGAACGGG